rnacentral:rRNA from 1 species
GACAGAGGUGCCAAGCGUUAGGCGGAAUCACUGGGCUUAAAGCGUGUGUAGGCGGGCGAUCCAGUACCUUGUGAAAUCCCACGGCUCAACCGUGGAACUGCUGGGUAUACUGGUUGUCUUGAGCCAGCUAGGGGCGAGCGGAACAGACGGUGGAGCGGUGAAAUGCGUAGAUAUCGUCUGGAACGCCGAAGGUGAAAACAGCUCGCUGGGAUUGUGCUGACGCUGAGACACGAAAGCCAGGGGAGCGAACGGG